rnacentral:rRNA from 1 species
AUGAGGAAGGCGCCCGCAGCGGCCUCCAAGCCCAAGCCAAGGGCGAGGGCCAAGCCCAAGGCGAAGGCCAGCCCCGACUCCCUCUCCAGCGCCUCGUCGCCGUCCCGCAGCGGCGGGUCUCCCGUCGCGGUCGGCCGCGGCCUCCUCUCGCCCUCCUCGCCGGCGACGCCCAAGGCCAGGUCCUCCCUCUCCCCGUUCGCCACAUCCACGCCGGCCUCCGUGUCCACCGUCGGCGACCUGAGGAGCCUCGCCGCCUCGAGCCUCGACUCGCUCAAGCGCCGCCUCGACGCGCUCCACGGCGACUCCGCCCGCGACCUCGAGGCCUCCCACUCCCGAAUCUCCAAGCGCAUCAAGACGCAGAGCUGCCUCAAGCUGGCGGAGGAGGCGGACAAGGAGCAUAAGAAGAUGGACGAGAAGUUCUCCGGGCGCGCCGAGGAGAUGAAGGUACGCUCGUGCCGUUCCUCGUUCGAUUCCAUGUUUGAUCGACCCCGUUGGUCGUGCGUGCUGCCGUGUAUUCUGAAUUUCGUGCGGAUUUGGACCCUGAAAUUGCGAUUCUCCGUGUGGAUUCCAGGCAUCGUACAAGAAGUUCCUGACAGAGGUGCAGUCGUCUUCGUCUCGUGUGUCCAAGGUGACCUUCCCUGA